UUCCGGUUGAUCCUGCCGGAGGCUACUGCUAUCGGAGUCCGAUUUAGCCAUGCUAGUCCACCGAUUCGUUCGGGGCGGAUAGCUGAGUAACACGUGGCCAACCUGCCCUGUGGAUGGAGAUAACCUCGGGAAACUGAGGCUAAUAUCCAUUAGCAGAGGAGUACUGGAAAGUCUCCUCUGUGAAAUGUUCCGACGCCACAGGAUGGGGCCGCGGCUGAUUAGGUCGUUGGUGAGGUAACGGCUCACCAAGCCAGUAAUCAGUAACAGCCGUGAGAGCGGGAGCUGUCAGUCGUGUUCUGAGACAAGAACACGGGCCCUACGGGGCGCAGCAGGCACGAAACCUUUACAAUGCACGCAAGUGCGAUAAGGGGACUCCGAGUGCGGUCUUCCCACAAGGAAGGCCGCUUUUCUGUACUGUAAGGAG
rnacentral:rRNA from 1 species